AUAUUACUCGCUCCAUCUGGAAUUACUUGUCACAGAAAUGGAUGUAUCUAGAUGUAUUUUUUUUGUUUAGAUACAUUCAUUUCUAUCCAUUUAUACGACAAGUAAUUCGGGACGGAAGGAGUACUAC
rnacentral:pre_miRNA from 1 species